AUACGUAGGUGGCAAGCGUUAUCCGGAAUUAUUGGGCGUAAAGAGGGAGCAGGCGGCAGCAAGGGUCUGUGGUGAAAGCCUGAAGCUUAACUUCAGUAAGCCAUAGAAACCAGGCAGCUAGAGUGCAGGAGAGGAUCGUGGAAUUCCAUGUGUAGCGGUGGAAUGCGUAGAUAUAUGGAGGAACACCAGUGGCGAAGGCGACGAUCUGGCCUGCAACUGACGCUCAGUCCCGAAAGCGUGGGGAGCAAAUAGGAUUAGAUACCCUAGUAGUCCACGCCGUAAACGAUGAGUACUAAGUGUUGGAUGUCAAAGUUCAGUGCUGCAGUUAACGCAAUAAGUACUCCGCCUGAGUAGUACGUUCGCAAGAAUGAAACUUAAAGGAAUUGGCGGGG
rnacentral:rRNA from 1 species